AUUGAACGCUGGCGGCAGGCCUAACACAUGCAAGUCGAGCGAGCUGCGGACGGGUGAGUAAUGUAUGGGAAUCUGCCCGAUAGAGGGGGAUAACUACUGGAAACGGUGGCUAAUACCGCAUACCAACGGAUGACCCCCUAUGGGAUUCGCUAGUAGGUGGGGUAAAGGCUGACCCAGGCGACGAUCUCUAGCUGGUCUGAGAGGAUGAUCAGCCACACUGGGACUGAGGAACGGCCCAGACUCCUACGGUGGGAAGCAGUGGGGAAUAUUGCACGAUGGGCGCAAGCCUGAUGCAGCCAUGCCGCGUGUAUGAAGAAGGCCUUAGGGUUGUAAAGUACUUUCAGCAGGGAGGCGUUACCCGCAGAAGAAGCACCGGCUAACUCCGGGCCAGCAGCCGCGGUAAUAC
rnacentral:rRNA from 1 species